rnacentral:rRNA from 1 species
CCUACGGGUGGCAGCAGUGGGGAAUAUUGCACAAUGGGGGAAACCCUGAUGCAGCGACGCCGCGUGAGUGAAGAAGUAAUUCGUUAUGUAAAGCUCUAUCAGCAGGGAAGAAAAUGACGGUAACUGAGUAAGAAGCCCCGGCUAACUACGUGCCAGCAGCCGCGGUAAUAAGUAGGGGGCAAGCGUUAUCCGGAUUUACUGGGUGAAAAGGGAGCGUAGACGGCAGUGCAAGUCUGGAGUGAAAGGCGGGGGCUUAACCCCCGGACUGCUCUGGAAACUGUACGGCUGGAGUGCAGGAGAGGUAAGUGGAAUUCCUAGUGUAGCGGUGAAAUGCGUAGAUAUUAGGAGGAACACCAGUGGCGAAGGCGGCUUACUGGACUGUAACUGACGUUGAGGCUCGAAAGCGUGGGGAGCAAACAGGAUUAGAUACCCCAGUAGUC